UACGAAGGGGGCUAGCGUUGCUCGGAAUCACUGGGCGUAAAGGGUGCGUAGGCGGGUUUUUAAGUCAGGGGUGAAAUCCUGGAGCUCAACUCCAGAACUGCCUUUGAUACUGGACGAUCUUCGAGUCCGGGAGAGGUGAGUGGAACUGGCGAGUGUAGAGGUGAAAUUCGUAGAUAUUCGCAAGAACACCAGUGGCGAAGGCG
rnacentral:rRNA from 1 species